GGCAAGAUGGCCGAGCGGUCUAAGGCGCUGCACUCAAGCUUCGAAGCUUGCCCAUUCAAAACGGGUGAAUUGCAGUCUCGCAAGAGGCGGGGGUUCGAAUCCCCCUCUUGUCA